rnacentral:lncRNA from 1 species
AAACCAACCUCUUCUUGCCACUUAAUAUCGGUAAAAAAAUCUAUUUAUUGGACGAAAUAUUCAACAAGGUGUUCAACAGUUCUAAAACAGAUUGAUGAUUAUUACAUGAUGAUUAACAGAUUGAUGAUUAUUUAUUACAUUUACAUGAGAAGUAACAAAUGUCAAGAAUGAAUGAAACUAGCAAAUUCAAAACAUAAUGAAACUUGUAAUAAUUUAAAAAUGCAUCAGCUAAUAAUGUCAACACAAACCACAGAAUUACACAAAAUCUAGUCCUCAUGU